rfam:Triticum aestivum genome assembly, contig: Triticum_aestivum_CS42_TGACv1_scaffold_195673_3AL
UUUCUACUCCCUCCGUCCGAAAAUACUUGUCAUCAAAAUGGAUCAAAAGAGAUGUAUCUAAAACUAAUAUACGCAUAGAUACAUUUCCUUUUAUCCAUUUUGAUGACAAGUAUUUCCGGAUGGAGGGAGUAUUUG